AUCAAGUAAGACUACCUGCUGAAUUUAAGCAUAUUAUUAAGCAGAGGAAAAGAAACUAACAAGGAUACCCCUAGUAAUGGCGAAUGAAGCGGGUAAAGCUCAAAUUUAAAAUCCCUGGUCUCAGCGGCCAGGGAGUUGUAGUCUAGGAUCAGUGCAUGAUAGAGUCCUGCCCCGGUAAAAGUGCUCUGGAAAGGGCCAUCAUAGAAGGUGAAAAUCCUGUACAUGACCGGAGGUGGUUGGGUUCAACGAUUCUUGCGUUGAUACAGAGUCGGGUUGCUUGGGAAUGCAGCCUUAAAUGGGUGGUAAAUCUCAUCUAAAGCUAAAUACUGACAGGAGACCGAUAGUGAACAAGUACCGUGAGGGAAAGGUGAAAAGUACCCUGAGUAAGGGGGUGAAAUAGAACCUGAAACCAUGCGCUUACAAGCGGUCGGAGCCCUUUAGUGGGGUGACGGCGUGCCUUUUGCAUAAUGAGCCUACGAGUUACUUUAUAUGGCAAGGUUAAGGAUUAGAGGUCUGUAGCCGGAGCGAAAGCGAGUCUUAACAGGGCGUGUAGUCAUAUGGAGUAGACGCGAAACUUGGUGAUCUACCCAUGGCCAGGGUGAAGUUUAGGUAACACUAAAUGGAGGCCCGAACCAGUUGACGUUGAAAAGUCUUUGGAUGAGCUGUGGGUAGGGGUGAAAGGCCAAUCAAACUGAGAGAUAGCUCGUACUCCCCGAAAUGCUUUUAGGAGCAGCGUGGGAUGAUGUUUACUAGAGGUAGAGCUACCGAUUGGACUAGGGGGAGUCACAUCCUACCAAAUCCAGACGAACUCCGAAUGCUAGUAAAUUAGUCCUGCAGUGAGGGCAUGGGUGCUAAGGUCCGUGUCCGAGAGGGAAAGAACCCAGACCUACGGCUAAGGUCCCAAAAUCUGUACUAAGUUGAACUAAGGCGGUCCAAUUGCUUAGACAGCCAGGAUGUUGGCUUGGAAGCAGCCAUUCAUUUAAAGAGUGCGUAACAGCUCACUGGUCGAGCGAUAGGGCAUCGAUAAUAAUCGGGCAUAAAGUACAGUACCGAAGCUUAGGAUUUAUGGUAGGGGAGCAUUCUCUGUGGGGUGAAGGUGUGUUGUGAGACAUGCUGGACUGCAGAGAAGCGCAAAUGUAGGCAUAAGUAACGAUAAUGCGGGCGAGAAACCCGCACACCGAUAGACUAAGGUUUCCCCGGCAAUGCUAAUCAGCCGGGGGUUAGUCGGGGCCUAAGGCGAACCCAAUGGGGUAGUCGAUGGAUAACAGGUUAAUAUUCCUGUACUUGCAUGAUACUAAAAAGUGACGAAGUGAUGUAGUUGCUACGUGCUGACGGAAUAGCACGUUGAGCCUAGUCUUCGGACAAAGCGAAGUAGUGAGUUCACUUCCUAGAAAAGCGAAGUCAUGCAACCCGUACCGCAAACCGACACAGGUAGUCGAGGAGAGUAUCCUAAGGUGCUCGAGUGAUUCAUGGCUAAGGAACUAGGCAAAAUGACCCUGUAACUUCGGGAGAAGGGGUCCCUACGUGAGUAGGGCGCAGCGAAACGAUCCAGGCGACUGUUUAUCAAAAACACAUGGCUUUGCGAACUUGAAAGAGGAAGUAUAAGGCCUGACACCUGCCCGGUGCUGGAAGGUUAAGGGGGGGAGUUAGCUUCGGCGAAGCUCUGAACUGAAGCCCCAGUAAACGGCGGCCGUAACUAUAACGGUCCUAAGGUAG
rnacentral:rRNA from 1 species